rnacentral:rRNA from 1 species
AUUGAACGCUGGCGGCAGGCCUAACACAUGCAAGUCGAACGGUAACAGGAAGAAGCUUGCUUCUUUGCUGACGAGUGGCGGACGGGUGAGUAAUGUCUGGGAAACUGCCUGAUGGAGGGGGAUAAUUACUGGAAACGGUAGCUAAUACCGCAUAACGUCGCAAGACCAAAGAGGGGGACCUUCGGGCCUCUUGCCAUCGGAUGUGCCCAGAUGGGAUUAGCUAGUAGGUGGGGUAACGGCUCACCUAGGCGACGAUCCCUAGCUGGUCUGAGAGGAUGACCAGCCACACUGGAACUGAGACACGGUCCAGACUCCUACGGGAGGCAGCAGUGGGGAAUAUUGCACAAUGGGCGCAAGCCUGAUGCAGCCAUGCCGCGUGUAUGAAGAAGGCCUUCGGGUUGUAAAGUACUUUCAGCGGGGAGGAAGGGAGUAAAGUUAAUACCUUUGCUCAUUGACGUUACCCGCAGAAGAAGCACCGGCUAACUCCGUG